rnacentral:rRNA from 1 species
GACGAACCGUGCGAACGUUGUUCGGAAUCACUGGGCUUAAAGGGCGCGUAGGCGGGCAGGCAAGUCAGGGGUGAAAGCCCACGGCUCAACCGUGGAAGCGCCUUUGAUACUGCCGGUCUCGAGGGAGGUAGGGGCGUGCGGAACUUCCGGUGGAGCGGUGAAAUGCGUAGAGAUCGGAAAGAACACCAACGGCGAAAGCACUCUGCUGGGCCGACACUGACACUGAGAGACGAAAGCUAGGGGAGCGAAUGGG